AACCCGACUACAUGAAGCUGGAAUCGCUAGUAAUCGCGAAUCAGAAUGUCGCGGUGAAUACGUUCCCGGGUCUUGUACACACCGCCCGUCACACCAUGGGAGUCGGAAAUGCCCGAAGUCAGUGACCUAACCGAAAGGGAGGAGCUGCCGAAGGUGGAGCCGGUAACUGGGGUGAAGUCGUAACAAGGUAAC
rnacentral:rRNA from 1 species